CGUUUCAUUUCAAACGUCAAGUGCGCGUCUGAAAAAAAAACCGGCAGCAGCGGGAGGAACCAGCUCGCUACCGGAAUCCCGGAAAAAAACGAACUAGGUGUUUGAGCUGGCAAGCAGAUGUGGCAAAUUAUUGGGCUUCGAUAACACCAUCCGAGUCUACACAUUUUUACCGCGGUUUUGGGCCAUCGGCGAAAAUGUCACGACAGGGCAGGACAGGUUUUUCUGUCCGGAUUGCCUUCUUAUUAAAUAUUUCGAUGUUUCCGCUCCAGAUUCCUUCAGGCGGCCCACGGCAUCUUCUAACCUUUCCGCCUUCAUCGGAGCAACAAAAAGCAGGAUGGCCACAAGAAUGAACCGCUGCAGGUCCAGCCAUUUAUGAAUUUUCUCUGCAGGAAGCGAAAAAAAGUGUGUUGAUUUAUGCAGUGAUGAGUUUUUGACAAUAAAAAUAAACAAAUUUCAAUUUUUACACCA